AUUGAACGCUGGCGGCAGGCUUAACACAUGCAAGUCGAGCGGAGACUUCGGUCUUAGCGGCGAACGGGUGAGGAAUGCCUGGGAAUCUGCCUGUUAGUGGGGGAUAACGAAUCGAAAGGUUCGCUAAUACCGCAUACGUCCUACGGGAGAAAGCAGGGGACCUUGGGCCUUGCGCUAACAGAUGAGCCCAGGUCGGAUUAGCUAGUAGGUGGGGUAAAGGCUCACCUAGGCGACGAUCCGUAGCUGGUCUGAGAGGAUGAUCAGCCACACUGGAACUGAGACACGGUCCAGACUCCUACGGAGGCAGCAGUGGGGAAUAUUGGACAAUGGGCGAAAGCCUGAUCCAGCCAUGCCGCGUGUGUG
rnacentral:rRNA from 1 species